CCUACGGGAGGCAGCAGUGAGGAAUAUUGGUCAAUGGGCUUACGCCUGAACCAGCCAAGUCGCGUGAGGGAAGACUGCCCUAUGGGUUGUAAACCUCUUUUGUCAGGGAGCAACGCCGGCUACGUGUAGCCGGACUGAGAGUACCUGAAGAAAAAGCAUCGGCUAACUCCGUGCCAGCAGCCGCGGUAAUACGGAGGAUGCGAGCGUUAUCCGGAUUUAUUGGGUUUAACGGGUGCGUAGGCGGAAUGCCAAGUCAGCGGUAAAAUCGCGGGGCUCAACCUCGCUCCGCCGUUGAAACUGGAGUUUUUGAGUGGGCGAGAAGUAGGCGGAAGGGGUGGUGUAGCGGUGAAGUGCAAAGAUAUCACGCAGCACUCGGAUUG
rnacentral:rRNA from 1 species